GUUCCCGGAUCCAUUUUUUAUUUAUUUCCGGUCAUAUAAUCAAUUAAUGUAACUAUAUCUUUCCAAUAAAUAUAUAUUGGUUGGCAGUACCACCAUAUAUGUAAUAAAGUGCCCUUAUCAAUAUUGCACCGCCAACAUCUAUUGGAUGUAUUUGGAAAUAUUUUAUUUAGAAGAUUCAGUGUCAAAUACCAUCUAUUUGAAAGUUUAAACUGCAACUGUCAAAUUUAAGCAGUGGAC